UCAUAACGUUCGUGAUUGUUUCCACUUUUAAUCCAAAAAUUUAAGUUCUAGUCUAAAAGCUUAUGGAUGAUAGUAAAUUUCAAGUAUGAUUUCCCAUAGAACCUUUUGCCUUCUGACAAUAACGUUUUUUACCAGUUUGCCAAGAAAUUCAGAUGGUGAUGCAAAGAUACCGAUACCGUUUCUGGAUGCUCUCAAUUUUAAUGAUCCUGCGAGUCCAGAUUGCUUUGGUCCUUUUUCUCAUCAUGACUCUCAGCAUCCACUUACGUCAAGUGAAUAUAAUAACUAUUAUGGAAAAAACCUAGG